AGAGAGCAUAACAUGUAUAUGUAGGGCUACGAUAGAGACCUAAGGAGUAAUAAGUAUGGGCUCCCAGUGUAAAUAAGAAAACCUAAUCCCACCAGGAUUCUAUUUCUUAUUUCACUAAUUAUAAUUCACCCAACUACAAAAUUAUAAUUGCAUUCCCGUCUUUAUCUCAAUUAUAUUACGAGCUCCAUGAUAUUAAAUACUUAUUAAUCUCCCUACGUUAAGGUUACAGAUACCCGUUGAUUAAAAUAAAUUACUAACAAUCUCCCACUUAAUCAACAUCUUAACUUGAGACUAACCGCUUAACUUAUUUGAUAUGUCAGAUACAAAUAUCUACCUACAGAGUUUGACAUAAUCGAAACUUAUAAGUUUACUCAAGGGGUAUCAUUAAUCCCUACUGGGACGUGGAUUCCAUCAAUAAUUAAUAGCUGUCAUAUACAUAAUGUUGCUACCCAACUCACCGAAACUAUUGACCGUAUAAAGAUCUCACUCUUUAAUGAAUCAAAGUCAACAACAUUAAAUAUAUACCUUUAAUAAUUAUCUUUGGAUUAAGAGUAUAAGUAUUCAUAAUAACCAUAAGGUUCCAAUUGUCUUAUAAAAUUAGUACAAAGACAAUUACCUCAAUGCGGUCCCGUUCAAUAUACACAAAGUGUACUAGCACAAUGAGUUGGAAUUAAACCGUUCCCUGUAGUCAAGACAGACCUACUAAAUAUUGUACUGCAGUCCUAUCGUUGGUGUGUCCAGUUCCAUUUAAAACUGUGAACUAUAUCUUAUAUUUUACAAGAACCAAUAAUUUGAUCUUCUGUGUGCAAGCCGAACUCUAUACACCGGAUCAUCUACUUUGUAAAAUAAAAGACACGCAUGCACAACAUACAAUAAUAUUAUGCAAACAUUGCCCAUAAAAGAUUCUCAUAAAAAAUGGAUAAAACUGAUUAAUAAAUAGUAGUCAAAAAUUAAUCCAAUACACAAAAGCAUGACUUUUAGUAUAACUUUCUAACAAACUCCCACUAAAACUCAAAGUUAUGCUGCCACGCAUCUCACUCCCUCUACAUGACUAUCAAAAGUCUUAGCCUUUAAUCUAUUCGUAAAAAGAUCUGCUAGGUUGUUUAUCGAUGCGAUCUUGGACGCACCUACAUCACAUCGCUGAACGAUCUCUCGAAUCAAGUGAUACUUACGCUCGACGUGUUUUCCUUCUUAUAAGUCAAUGGCUCCUUAAGAGUUAACAAUUCCACCACUAUUGUCACAAUAGAUAUAAUAGCUAAUUGCACUAAAGGAAUCACUUCUAGAUCCAUCAAGAAGUUUCUAAGCCAAACGGCCUCUAUUGGCUGCUUAAGAAGCUACCACAUACUCGGCUUCCAUGGUUGAAUUAAUCAAUGCACGAUUACUUGAUACUCCUCCAACUUAUAGCUCUACCUCAUAGGUAAACACAUAUCUCAAGGUAUACUUCUGGAAUCCUUAUCUGACACAAAGUCUUAGUUUGUGUACCCAUAAGGUAUUAGACUAUCUGACUGGUAAACCAACAUAUAAUCUCUAGUUUUUUUUAGAUACUUGAAAAUAUGCUUCUCUACAGUCAAACGCUCUUGCCCUGAAUUAGACUGAAAUCUACUAACUAUGCCAACGGCACAGCAAAUAUCAGGUCUAGUACAUAGCAUAGCAUACAUAAGGCUUUCUAAUACCAAGGCAUAAAGAACGGCCUUCAUCUUCUCCAUCUCCUCAGGUGUCUUACGACACUGAUCUUUGGAUAAGUUGAUUCCAUGUCUGAAAAGGGAGGAACCCUUUCUUGGAAUCCUGCAUGCUAAAACGAGCAAGGAUCUUAUGCUAAGCCCAACAUCCUAUACUUGCAAUCUCACAUAAGCUUAAUUCCAAGGGUGUGAUCGGCUUCUCUCAAGUCCUUCAUAUUGAACUGGCUAGAUAGUCACAUCUUUACCGAAAACAAAAUUCCCACAUCGUUUCCGAUUAGCAGAAUAUCAUCUACAUAUAGUACUAGGAACACCACCACUUUUUUGUUGUGUUUCUUGUACGCACAUGACUCAUCUGGACAUUGAUCAAAACCAAAAAAACUUGAUUGCUUGAUCAAAACGGAUGCUCCAAGAUCUAGAUGCUUGCUUGAGUCCAUGAAUAGACUCCUUAAGCUUGCACGACAUGUGCUCUUGACCCUUUGUUAUGAAUCCAUUCGGUUUCAUUAUGUGGAUGCGUUCAUCCAGAUUUCCAUUAAGGAAUGCAGAUUUCACAGCCUUUUACCAAAAUUUCACAUAUUUACCUUCUAGUUUCUCAUUGUAGUUGCAGGGUUCAGCAUGUUGUUCUUCAGGGAUCAUAUCAUAAGAUUCUCCCAAGAACAUAUACCGAUAGGGUGGGACAACAACCCUCCCACUACGAUGAGGUACCGGUGUGUCAACAACUCUUUCUUGCAGUGUAACCUCCUAUACUAUUGGUGUUGAAGAAGUUUUUGUCGGUCCCUCUCCUCUCAAUUUCUUUAGAACAAUCUUGCUUUUGGGCUUGUGGUCUAUUACACAGUCCUCUUCUAAUAACCGGGCAUUAGGGCUAACAAUAACUUUCUUAUCCGUAGGACUAUAAAAUAGUCCACCUUUCGUUCCUCUAGGGUACCCCACAAACAAGCAAACUUUUGUCCUCGAUUCCAAUUUAUCUGCGUUCCCACUCAGCACAUAUGCUGGACUACCCCAAACCCGAACAUGUUGCAGACUAGGUUUGCGCCCAGUCCACAGUUCUGUGGGUGUAGAUGGUACUGACUUAGACGGUACCAAGUUAAGAAUGUACGCUGCUGUUUCUAGUGCAUGUCCCCAAAACGAAAUUGCUAAAUCUGAAUAACUCAUCAUUGAUCUGACCAUAUCCAUAAGAGUCCUAUUCCUUCUCUUUGCUACACCAUUUUAUUGUGGCAUACCUCUAGCUGACAAUUGCGAUGUAAUCCCUUCAGCUGACAAGUAGUCCCUAAACUCUCCCAAGAGAUAUUUACCACCACGAUCAGAUCAUAAUGUCUUGAGACAUUUACCCAGACGCUUCUCCGUGUCCACCCUAUACUCCUUGAAUUUCUCAAAGCAUUCGGACUUAUGGUGCAUCAAAUAAAUGUAUCCAAACAUUGAGUAAUUAUCAAUCAAAGUGAUGAAAUACUCAAAACCACCUCUUGCUUGGACAUUCAUGGGUCCACCCAAAUCAGAAUGAACCAAUUCCAACGGCUCUUUGGCUUAUAUCCUUUUGCUGAAAAAGGCCUUUUGGUCAUUUUACUUUCCAAACAGGAUUCACAGACUGGAAGUUCCUUAACUUCUAAUGAACCUAAAAGUCCAUCUCUAACUAGUCUAGAAACCCUAUUCAAAUUAAUAUGACCAAGACGCAAGUGCCAAAGAUACGUUUGGUUCAAUUGAGAAGGCUCAUUUCUCUUACAUGACAUAUUAUUAGUGUUAUUCAAUUCAUGCAGUUGCAUUAUAGGAAAUAUAUGAUUAAUAAAGUAGAGAUUAUCUACCUAAUAAAACAUAAUGGUGUGGGCCCCCACACAAACACAAACACAAACACGUCCAAGGGCUAAGGUUCAUUUGAUCUAAGGGUUGUGGUGCGUCCUCCUAUUCUCAUUUAAGUAUCCACAUUCUUUGAACAUAUUACAUUUGUGCCAUCGUAGAUCUGAAAAUCGUAACACAGUUUCCACGUUUGUUUCAAAAUUCAAAAUUACUCUCUCUCUCUCUCUCUCUCUCUCUCUCUCUCCAUUCCAAACCCUUUUCAUAUCCACCCCCAGGAUGGAGAGGUUGCGAGCUCUAGAUCUGAUGGGUCAAUUUUAGUCGUUCUUGCUCUUUCUUCUUUUUGGAAAUUCACAGAUUUUGCAAAUCAAGUCGAUAUCAAGUCUGGUCGGGAAUCCGUGAAUCCGCUCUGAUCAAAUCAAGUUGAUAUCAUCAAGAUUUACCGCUGCUACUGUGGUACGAAUUAUGUUCAUUGAUUUAGUUAAUUUGUUCUUGAAUCUUGAUUAAUUGUAGUUUUUUUGGGGUCGAGGGUUCGAUAUGAUUUUUGGGAUUGUGUGCGUGUCCCAGGACAAUAUCUGUUGGAAUUCAAACUCAUUACUUUUCUUUUUCUUCUUUUUGGGUAAGUCAAGCUCAUUGCUUGGUAGUUAAAAUUGGGUAUUUGAGCAAUGUAGUUCUUUGUAGUGAGCUAAGGUAUGCGUACGAAGUGUUUGAUGAAAUGCCUGUGAGAAAUGUAGUGUCGUGGACGAAACUGCAGUUAUAGCUUUCGGGUGCUGCAGUUGCAAUGCUGUCCCCAUCGCGAGAUAUGGCAAUUGCCAAUUGGCAAAUUGUAAUCUUGGGUCCGAGUCAUCUGACUAAGCUGGGAGCAGGGGUAUUUUUAAUUUGCAUCUUUGUUCAAACUUGCAGCUUGAAAUUGCUUAUAAGUGGUAUUUUUAAUUUGCACCUGUUAAAAUGCAGUUUAUAUGCAUGUGUAGAGUCUGUUAGUGUAUCAGGCGGGCUUUUUUUUAUCCCAAAAUUGGUUGAUUAGGUUGUUAGGGUAUAUCUAUAGCUUCUUCUCUGUUGCGUAGUUUGGCCAUUUGUCUGCCUUUUCAUGAUGGACCAAAAUUGGUUGAUUUUGUGUAGUUUGGCCAUUUUAACGUUCUUUUGAAAAUUGAUCAUAAGUUUCAAAGCUAAACACAGUUAAAUUUACAAAGAGCUGGGAGGGUUCUGAUCAUGUCAUGUGGGAAGAAUAAAGAACCAACAAAAUACGUAAGGAUUUGUUUCUUUCUUUGUUAUAUGGGGGUUUUGAACGGACCAAUUCGCGUCGACAGUAGGAUUAAUCGCUCUCCCAUAAAGUAGUCGAGGUGUGCAUCGUUGGUCCAGCAAUAUUCACCAAAAAAUUUGCUAGCACCACACCUAAGAAUGAAUUUAUGAAAAACCACGCAUGCACUUGAUUCUGCACUUGAUGCGUAGUUUGGCCUGCACUUGAUUCACCAGUCAUAAUGUAGUUUGGCCUGCACUUGAAGUUAGACAUUGAGUAGGAAAACUUUUUUUGCUAUUCGAUCCCAUAUAUUCAGUUUAUUGUGUUCUUUUGUCAUGAUCAUCCUGAAUUGUUGUCCAUUUAUGACCUUUUUUUUAAACUUUAUUAUUUAUAUACCUUCAACACACGUGUAGACACACUCUCCUCCAUAAGGUAGGCGGUGAGGUUCGAAGCGGGUUAAAUUGUUAAACUGUAUUUAGAAAAAUUUUGUGGACUAAUGUCCAAUUUAUCGUAGUUAGUUCACGUUUCCUCAUAUUGCUAUCUAAUAUGGAACUGCUUGGUAUUCUUGAUUCUCACUUUUCAGACUAUUAACUUGGAAAACUUUGCAGGAACUGAAUUUGGGUCCUUCCACACACUUUUUACUCAAGGAUUGUAUAAGGAGCUCUGAUGAAAAACUCGGUUUCUACUGCACCUUCAUUUUGUACCUACAUUUUGUUUUUUCCCUUUUCCAUUGUACCUUCAUUUUUUUGGAAAGAUAUCGCGGGAAGUGAAUGUGUACAUAGGCCGCCUAAAAUUAAUGGAUUCUUGGGCAAUACAACUCCAUACCAACUUUGUUAGUUGGUAUAUGCUCAAAUUGUGGUCAAGAUCUAACAGUGUAGGAACCCAGUGGCUAGGAUUCACUUGAUCCAAUAGUCUUUUUCCUUUUAUUCCUUUAAAUUGUGGUCAAGAAGCCUAUUUGCAUAUACAAGUUGACAGGUCAGCUGUUUUGAGUCAUAAUCUUCACACCUUUCUUAUGCAUUGUAACUUUUGGUUGAUGCUAUAAAAUUGUACAUUGUUGCUUGGUUUUCUUGCCCUUUUUUUUUUUUUACUGGUAGUAGAUUUAUGAGAACAAAAGUUGAGAAGAUGGGGUAUUUAUUGAGUCUAUAUACAAGUAGUAGAUUUAUGAUGAGUUCAUUGCAUGUUUUAAUUCUGGGUUGGAGAGAUCUUGACAAAUCAAGAAUGGCGGCGGGGAAAAAUGCAGAAUAGAGUAUGCUUACAUUUUUUUCUUAUGGUCUUAGCUAUUGUGCUUUUACCAUCCUUAAUGAAUGACUCCCUGUUUUUUGGAUAUUCUGCAGAUAUCAAAAGAGGAAGGUAGACUAAAGAAGGAUGUGGAAGAGGAAAAAGAAAAGUGGAAAAGAAAGCAUGAGCAUGAAGAUCAGUGGGUGCCUUCAAGAAUGCUGUACUUUGAUGAAAUCGAAGAUGUGAAAAUCAUCCGGUCAUUUUAAAUCUACUGUUUUCUGUGGAAAUCAUCCAGAAUUUCCUAUUUGGUGGUAUGAUUCCAUUUUUUGCUUUUCUCUACUCUUCUGGGAUUUGAAGAGUCUGUUGUUAGUGAUGGGACUUAAUCGAGUUCGUUGGAGACUUUAAGCUGAGUCUGUAUACUCUUUUUCCGUUUUUUUAACUUCCUUUGGCUCUACUUUGUUAUGUUUUUAAGAAGGUAAUUAUGCGAGGAUACUAUUGGUGUCCUCGGCAACAUAUUACGGAGUUGCUUCCAAAUUAAUGGCUCUCCAAUAAUGCUACUAAAUCUUUUU